rnacentral:rRNA from 1 species
AGAUUUCCGAAUGGGGCAACCCAAUGUAUAGAGAUAUACAUUACCUAUAUAGGAGCGAACGAGGGGAAUUGAAACAUCUUAGUACCCUCAGGAAAAGAAAUCAAUAGAGAUUGCGUCAGUAGCGGCGAGCGAAAGCGCAAGAGGGCAAACCCAGUGCUUGCACUGGGGGUUGUAGGACUGCAAUGUGCAAGAGGUAAGUUUAGCAGAACAUUCUGGAAAGUAUAACCAUAGAGGGUGAUAGUCCCGUAUGCGAAAAACAAACCUUAGCUAGCAGUAUCCUGAGUAGGGCGGGACACGAGGAAUCCUGUCUGAAUCCGGGUCGACCACGAUCCAACCCUAAAUACUAAUACCAGAUCGAUAGUGCACAAGUACCGUGAGGGAAAGGUGAAAAGAACUGAGGUGAUCAGAGUGAAAUAGAACCUGAAACCAUUUGCUUACAAUCAUUCAGAGCCCUAUGUAGCAAUACAGGGUGAUGGACUGCCUUUUGCAUAAUGAGCCUGCGAGUUGUGGUGUCUGGCAAGGUUAAGCAAACGCGAAGCCGUAGCGAAAGCGAGUCUGAAUAGGGCGCUUAGUCAGAUGCUGCAGACCCGAAACGAAGUGAUCUAUCCAUGAGCAAGUUGAAGCUAGUGUAAGAACUAGUGGAGGACUGAACCCAUAGGCGUUGAAAAGCCCCGGGAUGACUUGUGGAUAGGGGUGAAAGGCCAAUCAAACUUCGUGAUAGCUGGUUCUCUCCGAAAUAUAUUUAGGUAUAGCGUUGUGUCGUAAUAUAAGGGGGUAGAGCACUGAAUGGGCUAGGGCAUACACCAAUGUACCAAACCCUAUCAAACUCCGAAUACCUUAUAUGUAAUCACAGCAGUCAGGCGGCGAGUGAUAAAAUCCGUCGUCAAGAGGGAAACAACCCAGACUACCAGCUAAGGUCCCUAAAUCUUACUUAAGUGGAAAACGAUGUGAAGUUACUUAAACAACCAGGAGGUUGGCUUAGAAGCAGCCAUCCUUUAAAGAAAGCGUAAUAGCUCACUGGUCUAGUGAUUUUGCGCGGAAAAUAUAACGGGGCUAAAGUAAGUACCGAAGCUGUAGACUUGCACACAACUUAGAUUAUUUAAGUUUAGAAUAUGAGAAACUAAGUUAUAUGUUUAGUUAUAUUUUUACUGAUUUUUAUAGAGUAAAGAUAGAAAUAAAACUUAGUAAAAUCAGUAAAAAUAUUCUUAGACUAAAGUUAAGUAGUUUAAGUUGUGUGCAAGUGGUAGGAGAGCGUUCUAUUUGCGUCGAAGGUAUACCGGUAAGGAGUGCUGGAGCGAAUAGAAGUGAGCAUGCAGGCAUGAGUAGCGAUAAUUAAUGUGAGAAUCAUUAACGCCGUAAACCCAAGGUUUCCUACGCGAUGCUCGUCAUCGUAGGGUUAGUCGGGUCCUAAGUCGAGUCCGAAAGGGGUAGACGAUGGCAAAUUGGUUAAUAUUCCAAUACCAACAUUAGUGUGCGAUGGAAGGACGCUUAGGGCUAAGGGGGCUAGCGGAUGGAAGUGCUAGUCUAAGGUCGUAGGAGGUUAUACAGGCAAAUCCGUAUAACAAUACUCCGAGAACUGAAAGGCUUUUUGAAGUCUUCGGAUGGAUAGAAGAACCCCUGAUGCCGUCGAGCCAAGAAAAGUUUCUAAGUUUAGCUAAUGUUGCCCGUACCGUAAACCGACACAGGUGGGUGGGAUGAGUAUUCUAAGGCGCGUGGAAGAACUCUCUUUAAGGAACUCUGCAAAAUAGCACCGUAUCUUCGGUAUAAGGUGUGGUUAGCUUUGUAUUAGGAUUUACUCCGAAAGCAAGGAAACUUACAACAAAGAGUCCCUCCCGACUGUUUACCAAAAACACAGCACUCUGCUAACUCGUAAGAGGAUGUAUAGGGUGUGACGCCUGCCCGGUGCUCGAAGGUUAAUUGAUGGGGUUAGCAUUAGCGAAGCUCUUGAUCGAAGCCCGAGUAAACGGCGGCCGUAACUAUAACGGUCCUAAGGUAGCGAAAUUCCUUGUCGGUUAAAUACCGACCUGCAUGAAUGGCGUAACGAGAUGGGAGCUGUCUCAAAGAGGGAUCCAGUGAAAUUGUAGUGGAGGUGAAAAUUCCUCCUACCCGCGGCAAGACGGAAAGACCCCGUGGACCUUUACUACAGCUUGACACUGCUACUUGGAUAAGAAUGUGCAGGAUAGGUGGGAGGCUUUGAGUAUAUGACGCCAGUUGUAUAUGAGCCAUUGUUGAGAUACCACUCUUUCUUAUUUGGGUAGCUAACCAGCUUGAGUUAUCCUCAAGUGGGACAAUGUCUGGUGGGUAGUUUGACUGGGGCGGUCGCCUCCCAAAUAAUAACGGAGGCUUACAAAGGUUGGCUCAGAACGGUUGGAAAUCGUUCGUAGAGUAUAAAGGUAUAAGCCAGCUUAACUGCAAGACAUACAAGUCAAGCAGAGACGAAAGUCGGUCUUAGUGAUCCGGUGGUUCUGUGUGGAAGGGCCAUCGCUCAAAGGAUAAAAGGUACCCCGGGGAUAACAGGCUGAUCUCCCCCAAGAGCUCACAUCGACGGGGAGGUUUGGCACCUCGAUGUCGGCUCAUCGCAUCCUGGGGCUGGAGCAGGUCCCAAGGGUAUGGCUGUUCGCCAUUUAAAGCGGUACGCGAGCUGGGUUCAGAACGUCGUGAGACAGUUCGGUCCCUAUCUGCCGUGGGCGUAAGAAGAUUGAAGAGAUUUGACCCUAGUACGAGAGGACCGGGUUGAACAAACCACUGGUGUAGCUGUUGUUCUGCCAAGAGCAUCGCAGCGUAGCUAAGUUUGGAAAGGAUAAACGC